rnacentral:tRNA from 1 species
CUAGUGUAGCAGAGCCCGGCAAAUGCAA